rnacentral:rRNA from 1 species
GGCUACCGCUAUUGGAGUUCGAUUAAGCCAUGCGAGUCGCGAGUCUUAGGGACUCGGCGUACCGCUCAGUAACACGUGGGUAACCUGCCCUAUGCUGGGGGAUAACCUCGGGAAACUGAGAAUAAUACCCCAUAGUUCACCACGCCUGGAACGGUGGGUGGAUCAAAGCUCCGGCGGCAUAGGAUGGGCCUGCGGCGUAUCAGGUUGUAGGGGGUGUAAUGUACCCUCUAGCCCUCUACGCGUACGGGUGUUGAGAGACAUCGCCCGGAGAUGGAUUCUGAGACACGAAUCCAGACCCCACGGGGUGCAGCAGGCGCGAAAACUUGGCAAUGCGAGAAAUCGUGACCAGGGAACUCCAAGUGCAUCGGGUAAGACCGAUGCUUUUCUUGACUCUUCAAAGGUCUUGGAAUAAGGGGUGGGUAAGGACGGUGCCAGCCGCCGCGGUAAUACCGGCGCCCCAAGUGGUAGUCGCUUUUAUUGGGCCUAAAACGUCCGUAGCCGGUCUGGUACAUUCGUGGGUAAAUCAACCAGCUCAACUGGUUGAAUUCUGCGAGCACGGCCAGACUUGGGACCGGGAGAGGUGUGGGGUACUCUCAGGGUAGGGGUAAAAUCCUGUCAUCCUGAGAGGACCACCUGUUGCGAAGGCGCCACACUAGAACGGAUCCGACGGUCAGGGACGAAGCCUAGGGGCACGAACCGGAUUAGAUACCCGGGUAGUCCUAGGUGUAAACGCUGUGGACUUGAUGUUGGGGGCGCUCCGAGCGCACUCAGUGUCGAAGCGAAGGUGAUAAGUCCACUGCCUGGGGAGUACGGUCGCAAGGCUGAAACUUAAAGGAAUUGGCGGGGGAGCACCGCAACCUGAGGAUUGUGCGGUUU